GCUCUUGAACCCUAAUUCAUUUAUUCCUCUAAUUCUUGUGUUUUUCGGAUUAGAGUUUAUGCUAGAUUUUUGUUGCAAAAGGAGGCCCAAAUCUGCUUGUGCCCUCCGGCUUUUGAUUUGAGUUGUUCAUCUUCAAUCCCGGCAUUUUUCUUUUUUUCGAUUUUCGGGUGAAUUUUGGGCGAAUUUUCGUUCUUCGCGUUUCGACCCAUAUCCGGUGAAAUUUGUUGGGGGAUUUUGUUGCUAGGAUACUUGUGAGCAAUCUUGAUGUGACCCCCCUUCGAAUCCCGCACGGAUUUGGCUUGAAUUUGUGUUUUAACCCGAGUCGUUCUUCAUGGAAAGGUUUCGGUUUUCUCUCAAAUUCGCGUGAUUUACUUGAGCUUUUUCAGAUCUAUCUCGUAGAUCUAUUAGACCUUGUUGAUACGCAUCUGUGGCUCAAAUCUCGCCUUGAUUCAUCAAGUUUUGACAGAGGAACUUUGAUCCGAAGUUUUGUUGUUCUUCACUCGUUCCUCCUGUUCUUGCUCUGCGUUCUCGAUUCUCUUUUCGAUCGUCACAGGAGCACGAACAAGCGGCGCGCGCGUGGGAGGGACACAGGAACAGCGAGGCGCGGCUACGCGAGCGGCAGCGCGGCGGCGGCCAGGCACGCAGCGCUCGCGAGGGCAGCACCCUCGGCAGUUGGCGGCGGCGGCGAGCGCUGCUUCGCGAGGAAGCUGACAGCGCAGCUGUCGCGCUCUGUGGGCCGGAGCAGCGUGCGCGGCCCAGCUCGGCCCAAGGCGCGUGCAAGUGCGACCAGGCGGCCUGCCCAGCACGCAGCAACGGCCCAAGGUGGGGCAGCACGCCAGCAGCUUGUGGCCCAAGCGCAGGUGUAGCUCAAGCACAGCUCGCGCAGCCCAGCCGAGUCUGCACGGCAAAAAGUGCCGGCGGCGCCCAUUGCCUUCGAUCUCCGGCCGGUCGCUGCACUGGCAGAGCCAUGGUCCCAGAGGCGCGAAUGUCCCGCCCUGCCGCCCUCGGGCGCCGGCUGCGAGUCCGUCGCCGCGGCCAAGUUGCGCCGGAAUCUCUCUCGUCGUCGGUGAUGUCGAUGGCCUCAUCCACUUCAGCGGCAUAGCCGGUCGUACGUCGCGACCAAGGCCACCUUGACCAAGCUUAUUUUCUACUGAGAAGUUUUUUGUAGCUUCCAAAAUUUGAGAAAAGUUGAAAAACGUGAAUACUGAAUUGCUCUCUUCUAUUCCCAAUUCCAGUUCUUCAUCUUGGUGCACAUUCACUUUCAAUGUAUCCUUUAAGCUCCAA